CAUAUUUAUUUGAAUAGAAUCACCAUAGGUAAACAUAUAUAUAGAGCUUAAGGAAUGCAAAGACAACUAAAUCAAAUAAGUUUUGAGAGAUCAAAAAGAUAUAGUCAGCCUCUGGACAGCUUUAAUGUGACGAAGUACACUUAAGAAUAUGCUGCCAAAAACAAUAAACAUGGUUCAGUGCAUGCUGAGAGAUCAUUCAGAGCUUGCUAGAUCAUUUGAGUAGGAAUAUACUAACAGUUGUUCAUGAAACGCGAAAUUCUAAUGCCACUUCAUACUUUCUUCUUACCUAUUGGAAGUAAAAUGCAAGUAUAAAUCCUGAUUCUUUAAUUGCCACAAUACAAAAGUUGAUAAAGGGUACACUCUAAAACUACCUAAAAUAAAGAAAAACACAAACAGUUGAUUAUGUUAGCUAUGCUGACCUAGCAGUUGCACACAGUGACCUGUCUUGGAAAAUUUUCAUCUCUCAGUGGUUUGAAAAAACCAUAAGGUAUUGUGCAUAACAAAACUGCAUAACAAGACUUUUGCUGAAGCAUGAAAACAGAGUAUGCAUCCACAAAGAACUUUUAUGCUAAGUAACACUAAAAAUGGACUUUGGUACAGCCACAUCAAAGGACUUACAAUCAAUUAAAAGCAAUUAGUAAACAAGCAAUAAGAACAGUAAAAGUUCACCUCAGCUUCUCAUUUGUAAUUUCAAUGACAAUAACUAUCAGUUCUUAUUUGCAUCUCCCUUUUCUUCAUCUGAAUCUGAGUCACUUG
rnacentral:misc_RNA from 1 species